CAUCUUAGCAGUAUCUCCCAUC
rnacentral:miRNA from 7 species